rnacentral:lncRNA from 1 species
GCACCCACUUUUCUUUCUUUUCUUUCUUUUUCUCUUGGAAGGAUAUGGACUUCCUUCUCACGCACAAGACUUUUCAUGCCCCAGAAUUUUUCUCCAAAAAUCUUCUUCUUGCAUGCCCCACUCUUCUCCUCCUUUUAUAACAACGUCAAACAUCUUAUCCAAAAGAAAGGAUAAAGAUGAGUAAUUGCACAUUUGAAUUCAAAUCAAAUUUUGAAUUCA